UACGUAGGGGGCGAGCGUUGUCCGGAAUCAUUGGGCGUAAAGCGCGUGUAGGCGGCCCGGUAAGUCCGCUGUGAAAGUCGGGGGCUCAACCCUCGAAUGCCGGUGGAUACUGUCGGGCUAGAGUGCGGAAGAGGCGAGUGGAAUUCCUGGUGUAGCGGUGAAAUGCGCAGAUAUCAGGAGGAACACCGAUGGCGAAGGCAGCUCGCUGGGACGGUACUGACGCUGAGGCGCGAAAGCGUGGGGAGCGAACAGG
rnacentral:rRNA from 1 species